UUAGUGCCAUCCUGUUAGCUUCCUUGAACAAGGUAAUGCCACCUAACAUGUUUUUUCAGACUUCCAGGACAAUGAUCGGGGGACUUCUCCAUGCCACACUGGGAGGUGUGAAGGCGUAGGCUUUAGGGCAACCCCUCUGAGAAGGGGUGGCAGGUGGAGGAGCCCAUUGAUCCUCUCUAUCAGGGAUGGAUUUGCUUUCUGUGGGUGUCACCUUCAGGGGCCUGUGUUCCCACUCAUCACAGGAGCUCACAUUUACUCAGUGGGGCCAGAGUGUUCUUCAUACAUGGUGAUUUUACUCCUCACCAUAACCUCCGUGGUGCGUGCUAACAUGACCACCAUUUUGCAGAUGAGAACAUGGAGGCUUGCAGGGGAGGUAAGUUGCCCCGGGUUCCAUGCUGAAUCAGAGGUCAAGCUCAGCACACAGCACAGGACCAAGUCUGCUGGUUCCCAAGCUCACGUCCUUACCUACAACUCUGAAUCACCCCACAGCAGAGUCAACAAGCUGGCCUGGCAUGUGAAGAAGCAAGCCUGCGUGUCUCCUGGCUGCCAGUGCCUUCCCUGCCCCGGGACCCUAAUCCACAGUUUGAUUCUGGUCCUUUUGCCCUCUGUCCCUCGCCAGAACCCUGAUAUUUCCAGAUGAAAACACGAGUAUAGCUUAUUUCCACAACUCACCUGGGCCCAGCAAUCAAGAUCUAUAGCUAUAGGGAAGUAUUGAGUUGAUUAUGAGUUAUAUAGGUCAAAAUGAGUAGCUUGCUUGAUUGAAGCAGGUAAUUCGUGCCAUACUUUUCUCUUUGGGAAGACCUGUACCAACAAUAACCUCUGCUAAACACUUUCGCUUUUUUAAAUUUGCAGGUACUUUUUUGGGGCUGUCUUUGGCUGCCUGUCUGUUGAGAGUUUGUUUUCUUUACAGUCCAUCUGAUUUACAGUCCAUCCGGGUUGAUUUGUCUCAUUUGGGAAUGAGAAAUUUUAUUUUAAUGCAUUAAGUAAUAGUGUUGAGUGGCCAACAAAUGUGAAGUUUGAAAAGCUCAAAUGAAAAAAAAAGUGUGAUAGAAACACAGAGUUGGGGGCCGGGUGCAGUGGCUCACACCUGUAUUUCUGGCACUCUGGGAGGCCAAGACAGGAGGAUCCCUUGAGCUCAGGAGUUUAAGACCCCUGGGCAACAUGGCAAGACCCCAAGACCCCAUCUCUACAAAAAAAAUGUAAAAAUCAGCCAGGGGUAAUCCCAGCUACUUGGGAGGCUGAGGUGAAAGGAUUGCUUGAGCCCGGGAGGUUGAGGCUGCAGUGAGCUGUGAUUGAUCUACUGGACUCCAGCCUGAGUGACAGAGCAAGACCCUAUCUAAAAAAAAAAACAAAAAAAAACAGAAAAGAAGAAGAAGAACACAGGUUGGAAUUUGAGGGGGCCUGUUAAAUAGGAUGCUCUUUCCUGCCUUAGUUUUGAAUUAACUGAGAAGAUAAAAUAAUAAGGCAUGGAGAUUAGAGCAUCCCCUUUCUUUUUUUCUUUUUCUUUUCUUUUUUCUUUUUUUUCUUUUUUACUUUUUGCUCUUCUUGGCCAGGCUGGAGUGCAAUGGCACAAUCUUGGCUCACCACAACCUCCGCCUCACGGGUUCAAGCAAUUCUCUUGCCUCAGCCUCCCCAGUAGCUGGGGUUACAGCCAUGUGCCACCAUGCCCAGCUAAUUUUGUAUUUUCAGUAGAGACAGGGUUUCUCCAUGUUGGUCAGGCUGGUCUCGAACUCCCCACCUCAGGUAAUCCACCCACCUCGGCCUCCCAAAGUGCUGGGAAUACAGGCAUGAGCCACCAGGCCCGGCAGCAUCCCCUUUCUUAUUGAUAAAGCAGAUCUUGGAGAAUGGGAGAUCCUAAGUGGGGUUCCUAAUGCUAGCCUUCAACAUCAGGCUGAGGCUCACCUUGUCUUCAAGUAAUGGGCAGUGCUGGCCUGAGGGGGAGCCUCCUCUGUCCAGGGCUCAGCUUAUCCUUGGAAGGCUUAGCACAUGGAGGAGCUGCUCCAGGCUAAGAGGGAGGGACUGGGGUACUCUGUAGAGGUUGUUCUUCCAGUUUCUUCAAUCAGAUGAGCCACACUGUCACUCUAGUGUUGAAAGGAGGGAAGGGACAGAGGUGGCCAGGAGUGUGACCCUAAAAGAGGCAGAGGAGACCUCAGAGAAAGAGAAGAAGCAUUCUCCUAACCAGAGGGAGAAGGAGAGAGGCCUCAGUUCUCCCUCUCUGGGAAUUAAUUUGAGAUUUACAUUUAGUGUCUAUAAACAUGUCAGCAGAUAUAUAAACUUAUUUGCUUUUGCUUUGUUUCCAUUUUUAGAUUCUUGAGUAUCAGAACACCACCUUCUUUGGUGGAACCUGUAUAUCCAUGAUUGAUUACCUCCUCUGGCCCUGGUUUGAGCGGCUGGAUGUGUAUGGGAUACUGGACUGUGUGAGCCACACGCCAGCCCUGCGGCUCUGGAUAUCAGCCAUGAAGUGGGACCCCACAGUCUGUGCUCUUCUCAUGGAUAAGAGCAUUUUCCAGGGCUUCUUGAAUCUCUAUUUUCAGAACAACCCUAAUGCCUUUGACUUUGGGCUGUGCUGAGUCUCACUGUCCACCCCUUCGCCGUCCAGAAUUCCCCAGCUUGUUGGGAGUCUACAUCACGGCCUGUCUUGGGAACCAAUCCGUCUCUCUUUCUUUUCUUUGAAGUUCCCAAUAAAAUGAAAACAGG
rnacentral:sRNA from 1 species